rnacentral:rRNA from 1 species
CGUGUAGGCGGUUGGUCAAGUCUGGUGUGAAAGCCCGGGGCUCAGCUCCGGAAGUGCGCUGGGAACUAGCCGACUGGAGCGCGAUAGAGGAGGGUGGAAUUCCUGGUGUAGCGGUGAAAUGCGUAGAUAUCAGGAGGAACACCGGCGGCGAAGGCGGCCCUCUGGAUCGUUGCUGACGCUGAGACGCGAAAGCGUGGGGAGCAAACAGGAUUAGAUACCCUGGUAGUCCACGCUGUAAACUAUGGGUACUAGGUGUUCGGGGUGUUGACCCCCUGAGUGCCGACGCUAACGCAUUAAGUACCCCGCCUGGGGACUACGGCCGCAAGGCUAAA